CCUACGGGUGGCAGCAGUCGAGAAUCAUUCACAAUGGGGGAAACCCUGAUGGUGCGACGCCGCGUGGGGGAAUGAAGGUCUUCGGAUUGUAAACCCCUGUCAUGUGGGAGCAAAUUAAAAAGAUAGUACCACAAGAGGAAGAGACGGCUAACUCUGUGCCAGCAGCCGCGGUAAUACAGAGGUCUCAAGCGUUGUUCGGAAUCACUGGGCGUAAGGCGUGCGUAGGCUGUUUCGUAAGUCGGGUGUGAAAGGCGCGGGCUCAACCCGCGGACGGCACAUGAUACUGCGAGACUAGAGUAAUGGAGGGGGGACCAGAAUUCUCGGUGUAGCAGUGAAAUGCGUAGAUAUCGAGAGGAACACUCGUGGCGAAGGCGGGUUCCUGGACAUUAACUGACGAUGAGGCACGAAGGCCAGGGGAGCGAAAGGGAUUAGAUACCCGAGUAGUC
rnacentral:rRNA from 1 species